CAACACAAAACCUGUCACUUAUUGUCAAAAGAGUCCGACAGGCGAUCAUUAGUCUUCUAUCACUUGUUUAUCCCCUGAAUUGCGCUGAAUGUAAAGACACCCUCCAAGGGUAGGCUAAUUUUCAUGCAGGAGAAAUGAUAUUUGUGUGGACUUCGUAAAACCGCAUUACUUACACCUGUGUGUUACGUGAUGUUAGCGGAACAGGUCGUCUCGCUCCUUGUAGGAGUGUGUGCCGUGUUGAAUGAGAUUAUUCCUGCGGAGGCAUCUGACCUCGACGGAUGCGAUGCCGGUGUUGCAUGGCAAGGGAACUGGGCUGUAUUGACCAUCGUCUUCUUCCUAUUUGUGAUAGUCCGAAGAAUAAUGGCAAAUUAGAAGAUGGUACAAGAACUGAAGAAGCCGGACUGAAGUGCGAGACAUUGAUUUUAAUAUACAAGUAUACGUUCUCAGAUUUCAAGGAUAUAUUAAAGUUUUAAAAUUU